GGUCAAGUUAUUAAGGGUUUACGGUGGAUGCCUUGGGGCCAAGGGCCGAAGAAGGGCGCGGCAAGGCUGCGAUAAGCCUCGGUGAGCUGUCUAGCGAGCUUAGCCGGGGGUUCCCGAAUGGGGUAACCCAUUCCGGGUCAUACCGGAAUACCCCGACUCGUCGGGGGGGUAAGCGGGAGAACUGAAACAUCUAAUUAUCCCGAGGAACAGAAAUCAACCGAGAUUUCCUUAGUAGUGGCGAACGAACGGGAAAGAGCCCAAACCCUGUGGGCUUAACGGGCUGAGGCCCUAUGUCCAUGGGGGGUUGUAACACACGUCGGCUCCAACCUCAGCACGGAGCAAGAAGUGAAAAACCCACUCCUCAGCUGAAUGAGCCUGGAAAGGACGACCAUAGAAGGUGAGAGUCCUGUAGGCGAAAAGGAGUGGGCUUCUGAUGUGCUGUUGAGUACCACGGGACACGUGAAAUCCUGUGGGAAUCUGGGAGGACCACCUCCUAAGGCUAAAUACUGUUGGCGACCGAUAGUGAACCAGUACCGUGAGGGAAAGGUGAAAAGAACCCCGGUGAGGGGAGUGAAAUAGUAUAUGAAACCGCGAGCCUACAAGCAGUGGGAGCACUAUACUGUUGCUUCGGCAACGGCAUGUGUGACCGCGUACCUUUUGCAUAAUGAGCCGCCGAGUUACUUUAUCUAGC
rnacentral:rRNA from 1 species